CUCACGUUCUGCUCUCCAAAAUUGGUGCUUACAAAUUAUUCUACUGGGAUAUCCAACAAAUUGGUCCGGACAUGGAGUUGGAAAGUGAGUCUAUUAAUGCAUAUCUUGCGAUCAUGGUGAGACAAUGCAAUCGCCAUAAUUCAGCAAAAGCAGCAUUCAUUGAUUCAUUUUCAAUGACUGCCAUUUGGAAGAGAAAAGCUCCAAGACUCAAGAUCAAACCCAUGGAGCAUGAAGUGAUUCUGGGAA